rnacentral:lncRNA from 1 species
CACAAAUCAGAUCAGGAGUCCUAUGAGAAAGUCCUCUUACUUUAGACUUGAGAAUUAUCAGGCAUGAACUAGACAAGGAGCAGAGGUUGUGACUCCGACAGUGUGCUAGACAGGGAGAGCAGUACUCCAAGGCUGAGAGACUGGAGUGAGAUUCAUUCCAUUACCUUAAAGCAUCUCCCUGCUGAAAGUAGGGGUUGAGGCAGGACAUGGAAAGAUGUGGAGCUGGGGGGCAAGGUCAAAACUGCAAACAAAAGAAAAAGCAGGUUUAUUUGGGGGUGGUUGUGCACGUCUUUAAUCCCAGCACUUGGGAGGCAGAGGCAGGCAGAUCUCUGAGUUCAAGACCAGCCUGGUCUAUAGAGUGGGUUCCAGGACAGCCAGGGCUACAAGGAAAAACUCUGUCCCAAAAAACCAUGGAUGGAUGGAUGGAGAUGGAUGGAUGGAGAGAGAGAGAGAGAGAGAGAGAGAGAGAGAGAGAGAGAGAGAGAGAGAGAGAGAAAAUUUGCAAACAGAAA